rnacentral:rRNA from 1 species
GACGCUACGGCUGCUUACACCUGCAGUCGAACGGCAGCGGGGGAGCUUGCUCCCGCCGGCGAGUGGCGAACGGGUGAGUAAUACAUCGGAACGUACCCAGUAGCGGGGGAUAGCCCGGCGAAAGCCGGAUUAAUACCGCAUACGCCCUACGGGGGAAAGGGGGGGAUCUUCGGACCUCUCACUAUUGGAGCGGCCGAUGGCUGAUUAGCUAGUUGGUGGGGUAAAGGCCUACCAAGGCGACGAUCAGUAGCUGGUCUGAGAGGACGACCAGCCACACUGGGACUGAGACACGGCCCAGACUCCUACGGGAGGCAGCAGUGGGGAAUUUUUGGACAAUGGGCGAAAGCCUGAUCCAGCAAUGCCGCGUGUGCGAAGAAGGCCUUCGGGUUGUAAAGCACUUUUGUCAGGGGAAGAAAUCGUUUGGGUUAAUACCCCGAGCAGUUGACGGUACCUGAAGAAUAAGCACCGGCUAACUACGUGCCAGCAGCCGCGGUAAUACGUAGGGUGCAAGCGUUAAUCGGAAUUACUGGGCGUAAAGCGUGCGCAGGUGGUUUGUUAAGACAGUUGUGAAAUCCCCGGGCUUAACCUGGGAACUGCCAAUUGUGA